rnacentral:rRNA from 1 species
AAGGCUUCAGUACGACCCAGUCAGAACCAUAAGUCUCAAAGCCCCGACGAGUAGGGUGGCGUGCCGGUGAGCGUUGAAGGCCAAGACGUGAGUCAGGCUGGAGCCGCCGGUAGUGCAGAUCUUGGUGGUAGUAGCAAGUACUCUGGUGAACCAACCUGGAGCUGUGAGGUCUGGAUUAGGGUUCCAUGUCAACAGUGAUUGAACAUGGGUGAGUCGAUCCUAAGCCAACUGUGAAAGCAGUGACAUCCCGACAAAGGAGCUAAAGCUGUGGCGACAGCCAGUAUCUCUCUCGGUGUCUCUCUCUCUCUCUCUAAUGAAAAGCGUAAAAAUUUCCUCUACGGAGGAAAGGAACGGAAACUGAAGGGAAUGCAACCCGCACCCGCUAACUGGUUACGCUCAAAAGCGUUGUCUGGCAAAAAAAAACAAAUUUGACUUUGUUUGUUUGUUUGUGUGUGUGUUUGAGAGAGAGAAAAGAGUGCUGGCGAAUGACACACGCACACGCGCCCUGAGUCUUGGUUUUAUAUGUCUGGCGAAAGGGAAUGGGGACUUUGUUCCUUGACCGGUCCCGGCACCCUCGAUAGGCUCUGCCAUUCAAUGGUCCAUGCAAAUGGAACCAGGCCGCAGCCGCCGGCAGUCGCCCGAGGAAGAGUUUUCUUUUCUGCUUAACGCACGAGAUCAUCCCUGGAAACAGUUCGGCUGGCGAAAGGGUGCCCCGUUGCGGCAGAGCGCCACGACUGUCGUGCGCGUCUCGGUGUACCUGCUGGUCCGUGAAGACGUGGUCGAGGGGAUUGCUGCUCUCUUGUAUCAACGAAACGCCCGACAAGUUCGGGACGGACCGUACCCUAUAUCCGCAUCUGGUCUCCAAGGUUCGUAGCCUCUGCAGAGUCAGACACAUGUAGGUAAGGGAAGUCGGCAAACUCGAUCCGUAACUUCGGGAAAAGGAUUGGCUCUGAGGGCCGAGCUGGGCCGGGCCUUGCCUGCAAAGCAGUACCUAUAGUGACCGGAGUUUCAGGAGUGCGAGGGGCUCUAGUAGCUGUCCUUGCGUCCGCGCGAGGGCACGAACGAGUCUACUGCUCCGCUCCAACCACGAACGGCUGUGACGGCAAGGGCUCUGGGCGGGAGCGUUCAAACCGUUGGCCCCCAGCGUGUCUGCGGGGCGGCGGUGCUUCGUCUGACCCAUACGGCUCCAGCGGCUAGCGGCUAACUCAGAACUGUCAUGGACCAAGGGAAUCCGACUGUCUAAUUAAAACAAAGCGUCGUGACGGCCCCCGUUGGGUGUUGACGCGACGUGAUUUC